AAUCACCUUCCCGAGCUCUUUGUCCUGUACGACAUUACCGUUGCAGCAGAACUCUUUUUUGAGGUCUUUAAGGAUCUUUUCGUAGCUGAAUUCCUUCCUCAGCCCCUGGACAGUAGUUAGGCUUUUCUUUCCAUUCCUCUGCUGUAUCCUUAUAUGCACAUACUCCUUCGCACCGGGAGCACCUGAUUCUUUGGCCUCAGAAAAUGGAUCGAAAGUAGUAGGAAUUUCAACGUCUA
rnacentral:lncRNA from 1 species